rnacentral:rRNA from 1 species
GUGAGGAAUUUUCCGCAAUGGGCGAAAGCCUGACGGAGCAAUGCCGCGUGAAGGAUGAAGGCCUAUGGGUUGUAAACUUCUUUUCUCAGAAAAGAAUUAUGACGGUAUCUGAGGAAUAAGCAUCGGCUAACUCUGUGCCAGCAGCCGCGGUAAGACAGAGGAUGCAAGCGUUAUCCGGAAUGAUUGGGCGUAAAGCGUCUGUAGGUUGUUUAAAAAGUAUUCUGUCAAAGAUUAGGGCUUAACCCUAGAUAGGCAGAAUAAACUUUUAAGCUAGAUUUUGGUAGAGGCAGAGGGAAUUCCCGGUGGAGCGGUGAAAUGCGUAGAUAUCGGGAGGAACACCAAAGGCGAAGGCACUCUGCUGGGCCAAUACUAACACUGAGAGACGAAAGCGAGGGGAGCAAAUGGGAUUAGAAACCCCGGUAGUCC